rnacentral:rRNA from 1 species
UGAGGAAUAUUGGUCAAUGGGCGAGAGCCUGAACCAGCCAAGUAGCGUGCAGGAUGACGGCCCUAUGGGUUGUAAACUGCUUUUAUGUGGGGAUAAAGUGCGUGACGUGUCAUGCAUUGCAGGUACCACAUGAAUAAGGACCGGCUAAUUCCGUGCCAGCAGCCGCGGUAAUACGGAAGGUCCGGGCGUUAUCCGGAUUUAUUGGGUUCAAAGGGAGCGUAGGCUGUCUAUUAAGCGUGUUGUGAAAUUUACCGGCUCAACCGGUGGCUUGCAGCGCGAACUGGUCGACUUGAGUAUGCAGGAAGUAGGCGGAAUUCAUGGUGUAGCGGUGAAAUGCUUAGAUAUCAUGACGAACUCCGAUUGCGCAGGCAGCUUACUGUAGCAUAACUGACGCUGAUGCUCGAAAGUGCGGGUAUCAAACAGG